UUUGUGGAGGGUUCGAUUCUGGCUCAGGAUGAACGCUGGCGGCGUGCUUAACACAUGCAAGUCGAACGGGAUCCAUCGGGCUUUGCCUGGUGGUGAGAGUGGCGAACGGGUGAGUAAUGCGUGACCG
rnacentral:rRNA from 1 species